GCUUACGGCCAUACCAUCCAGAAUGCACCUGAUCUCGUCAGAUCUCGGAAGCUAAGCAGGGUCGGGCCUGGUUAGUACUUUGAUGGGAGACUGCCUGGGAAUACCAGGUGCUGUAAGCA
rnacentral:rRNA from 1 species